UACCUGACAAGGUGGAGAGAUGAAAACAAGCGAAGCAGCAAGGCAUGAGAGCAAUUUUGUGGAUAAUACUCCAUGAGCAUUCAGUGGCACCUUGUCAUGCAGAGAGCAUCUGAAAUUAUUUCGUCCAGCGGGUCUGCAUUUUCUCCUACCAAUAAGAAGAUUACUUAUCAGCAUUUUCAUCCAGUGAAUACAAUAGAACAGCACCUGAUCUAGCCUUAUACAACUUUGAUCCAAGAAAAAUCAACUGCGUGUUGCUGCCACUGGCGCUUGUUACCUGGAAGAGCAAGCAGGGUGUGGCGCCGCAAGAGAAGAAGAGGAGGAGCCCAACAGCAGAGCGAGAACCAUGGCUUCCUCCCGCCGCCGCCGUCGCCGUCGUCUCCCACUGUCUUAGGCCGAGUAAACCGUUUUCUCGAGAUUACGCGGUUGCAGCUUCUUGAGUGGUUUUUGGCUUUCGAUGUCUGCAGGUGCGGGAGAGAGAGAGAGGAGCCGAAUUGCUGGAGACCGAU